UUCAAAAGGAAUUUUACCAAGAACCAGUGAAACUAAGACAUGACAGUUUUAUGCUAAGCAAGAGAUUCUGAUCUAAAUUGCUGAGGAAAAUGACUGUGGUAAAUAUUUCUUAGUUGAUGACUUAAACCAGCUCAGCAGAUUAACCAAAACACACCCUGAAUGCUUGCAGCUGGUGACGGACACAUUCACUUUUGCUCCUUCUAGACAUCGCUAAGGACCACAAGGCCACCGGAGCUUUUCCCCAGCGGAAUCACCUUCCUCGUGCAGCUGCUGCUGACUGUGAACCGAGUUCUCCGGAGGCCGGCUCUCUCCAGCAGGUGGCGCUGCCGCAGUGCGGGCUGCGGCGACCCCGCCUCGUCUGUAAGGAAAGCUCCAUCCAGAAUCUCAGCUCUGUGGUGCUCCACGUGGCUGUGAUUGCUUCAGAGGUGACCACAGCCAUUCACAUGGGCUCUGAAUCCAGCCUGCCAGGGGUCAAUCUCUCAUCAUGUUUAAACACAAGAAUCUCGAUCAAAGAUCAAAGUUGGCUUCAGAGACCAAAUCACUCCUUUCAUAAGGGAUCACGGGGACUCAGCCCUGUCUGGGUGUCUGGUUUUGAUUUAGAUAAAACUAGAUCUAAGCACAAAAAAAAAAAAAAAAAAAAAAAGAAAAAAAAAUUAUAGUAAAGGUGCAGAACUGCAGAACACAACUGACAAAUGUCAAAGUGUUACAUUUAAAAUGAAGGAACAAUACUGACACAGAACAUGCUGGAGACACUUCGAAAAUAGAGAACAAAAUGUACUGGAAGAAAAUAUAACAGACUUCACUAUGAAUGGCAAUUAUAUUCUGCUGUGAUGAAAACCAAAAAUCUGUUAUGUGUAAAAUGGAAGAAAAUCAAGUGGAUGAUACUGAGGGGUGUUUCAGAAAAUGCACAGUGAAGUUGACAAAACGUUUUCUUCCUAAAUUCAUAAAAGAAUUAAUAAAAAUCUGAACUAAAACCAGACGUAAGAUUUUUUUUUGUCUUUUUCCUUUUUAUGGGUACCAAGGAUCGAACUCACGACUGCCUGCUUGCAAGGCAGGCGCUUAUGGCGUG